rnacentral:lncRNA from 1 species
UGGACAACGUGGUUAAUUGCUUAGGAUUAAUUGUCUCAAUCGAAGUUUUUGUUUUGAGUGUGCAGGAUUAACUACGAUGGAAGAAAGACAUGCAGCAGGAGUUGCGCCGGAGUCAUGACAAUGAUCACGUUGGGAGUUCGAGAGCUCGACGGAAGUUCGGACAGUCAUCGGAGGUUCUGCGGGAACAAAUCCGAGAAGUCCAGAAGCUUGCCAAAGG